GAUUCUUAGGUGGGUUGGGCGCAGCAUGGCCCUUACCAAGCCUUUAGGAAUGAAAUGGUUCUCCAAGUUUUGUGGAGGCCACAUGCCUUUGAUUGUAUUCACUUUAUUAUUUUGCUUUUGUCUUCCUGCUAUUGCGUAUGUAGUUGUCUGCUAAUACUUCUAAGGCUUUAUUACACUCAAUAUCGGAUGUUGUCUUUCAUACGACUGAGACAUCAACAAAGCAAAUAACCUGAUUACAAGGUUCAGGGAGCUCCAACUUUUAUCUGACCAAAGAAAUCUUUCAAGCUAGAUUUUCUUUCAAGAUAACAAUAAAGUCUGGGAGCAUCCCUGUCCAUGGAACAACACUGGAGAUAUAGUGUUACUGUUACAUUUCUCAGUAUCCCUAGCUUGAUGCCUUGUGCGAUGAUGUUGCGGAUUUUGGAGCCCAUUAAUCUCCUAUUAGAUUGAUGUGAUCAUAAUAAUUCUUUUUUUAAUCACUGGUUGGUUUCAUGAAGCAGAGCAUAUUUUGUGGAUGGAUAAGUUGCUUA